rnacentral:ncRNA from 1 species
AUAGCUUCACUCUUAUCAGCAGUAAUUGGUAAUACAACUUGAACAGAACCUUUUCCAAAAGUUUUUUCUCCAACUAAAAUUGCUCUUUUAUGAUCUUGUAAAGCACCACUUACGAUUUCUGAAGCAGAUGCACUACCACCAUUUACAAGGACAAUUAAAGGAACUCUUGUCAAUGUUUUUGAAUAGUUUGCAUUAAAAGUUUCUUCACUUGAAUCAUCUCUACCUUUUUGUGAGACAAUGAUUCCUUUGUCUACAAAUAAAUCAGUUGUUCCUAUUGCUUGAGUUAAUAGUCCACCUGGAUUAUUUCUUAA